rnacentral:rRNA from 1 species
AUUGGGGCGUAAAGGGCUCGCAGGCGGUUUCUUAAGUCUGAUGUGAAAGCCCCCGGCUCAACCGGGGAGGGUCAUUGGAAACUGGGAAACUUGAGUGCAGAAGAGGAGAGUGGAAUUCCACGUGUAGCGGUGAAAUGCGUAGAGAUGUGGAGGAACACCAGUGGCGAAGGCGACUCUCUGGUCUGUAACUGACGCUGAGGAGCGAAAGCGUGGGGAGCGAACAGGAUUAGAUACCCUGGUAGUCCACGCCGUAAACGAUGAGUGCUAAGUGUUAGGGGGUUUCCGCCCCUUAGUGCUGCAGCUAACGCAUUAAGCACUCCGCCUGGGGAGUACGGUCGCAAGACUGAAACUCAAAGGAAUUGACGGGGGCCCGCACAAGCGGUGGAGCAUGUGGUUUAAUUCGAAGCAACGCGAAGAACCUUACCAGGUCUUGACAUCCUCUGACAACGCGGGAGAUAGGGCUUUCCCUUCGGGGACAGAGUGACACGUGGUGCAUGGUUGUCGUCUCCUCGUGUCGUGAGAUGUUGGGUUAAGUCCCGCAACGCGCGCAACCCUUGAUCUU